rnacentral:rRNA from 1 species
CUACGGGAUGCUGCAGUGGGGAAUAUUGCACAAUGGGCGCAAGCCUGAUGCAGCCAUGCCGCGUGUAUGAAGAAGGCCUUCGGGUUGUAAAGUACUUUCAGCGGGGAGGAAGGGAGUAAAGUUAAUACCUUUGCUCAUUGACGUUACCCGCAGAAGAAGCACCGGCUAACUCCGUGCCAGCAGCCGCGGUAAUACGGGAGGGUGCAAGCGUUAAUCGGAAUUACUGGGCGUAAAGCGCACGCAGGCGGUUUGUUAAGUCAGAUGUGAAAUCCCCGGGCUCAACCUGGGGACUGCAUCUGAUACUGGCAAGCUUGAGUCUCGUAGAGGGGGGUAGAAUUCCAGGUGUAGCGGUGAAAUGCGUAGAGAUCUGGAGGAAUACCGGUGGCGAAGGCGGCCCCCUGGACGAAGACUGACGCUCAGGUGCGAAAGCGUGGGGAGCAAACAGGAUUAGAUACCCGAGUAGUC